rnacentral:rRNA from 1 species
AAAACGACUCUCGGCAACGGAUAUCUCGGCCUCUCAUCGAUGAAGAACGUAGCGAAAUGCGAUACUUGGUGUGAAUUGCAGAAUCCCGUGAACCAUCGAGUCUUUGAACGCAAGUUGCGCCCCAAGCCUUCUCGGCCGAGGCACGUCCGCCCGGGUGUCACAA